rnacentral:rRNA from 1 species
GACGAACGCUGGCGGCACGCCUAACACAUGCAAGUCGAACGAGCGAGCGAGAGCUUCCUUUCCUGAGCGAGUGGCGAACGGGUGAGUAACGCGUGAGCAACCUGCCUCAAACAGGGGGACAACAGUUGGAAACGACUGCUAAUACCGCAUAACCACACGGUGCCGCAUGGCACUGAGCGAAAACGUGCAAUCCGCCAUGACAUUGCCCCGCGACCGAUUAGCUAGUUGGUGAGGUAACGACCAAACAAGGAGACGAUCAGUAACCGGAGUGAGAGGAUGAACGGACACGUUCAGACUGAGACAAAGCCCAGACUCCCACGGGAGGAAGCAGAGGGAAAGGAUGCACAGUGGAGGAAACCCUGGGGCAAUAAGGCCGCGGGGAGGAAGAUGAUCUGCGGGUUGUAAACUCCUGUAGGGGAAGAAGAUAAGGAGGGUACAAGACAAGGAAGUGACGGCUGGCGACGU